UACGAAGGGGGCUAGCGUUGUUCGGAAUCACUGGGCGUAAAGGGCGCGUAGGCGGCUUUAUAAGUCGGGGGUGAAAGCCUGUGGCUCAACCACAGAAUUGCCUUCGAUACUGUAGAGCUUGAGACCGGAAGAGGUAAGUGGAACUGCGAGUGUAGAGGUGAAAAUUCGUAGAUAUUCGCAAGAACACCAGUGGCGAAGGCGGCUUACUGGUCCGGUUCUGACGCUGAGGCGCGAAAGCGUGGGGAGCGAACAGG
rnacentral:rRNA from 1 species